UCGAGGGGCAGCAUGAUUUGUAGCAAUACAGAUUGAUGGCGACCGGCGCACGGGUGAGUAACGCGUAUGCAACUUACCUAUCAGAGGGGGAUAGCCCGGCGAAAGUCGGAUUAAUACCCCAUAAAACAGGGGUCCCGCAUGGGAAUAUUUGUUAAAGACUCAUCGCUGAUAGAUAGGCAUGCGUUCCAUUAGGCAGUUGGCGGGGUAACGGCCCACCAAACCGACGAUGGAUAGGGGUUCUGAGAGGAAGGUCCCCCACAUUGGUACUGAGACACGGACCAAACUCCUACGGGAGGCAGCAGUGAGGAAUAUUGGUCAAUGGCCGAGAGGCUGAACCAGCCAAGUCGCGUGAAGGAAGAAGGAUCUAUGGUUUGUAAACUUCUUUUAUAGGGGAAUAAAGUGGAGGACGUGUCCUUUUUUGUAUGUACCCUAUGAAUAAGCAUCGGCUAACUCCGUGCCAGCAGCCGCGGUAAUACGGAGGAUGCGAGCGUUAUCCGGAUUUAUUGGGUUUAAAGGGUGCGUAGGUGGUGAUUUAAGUCAGCGGUGAAAGUUUGUGGCUCAACCAUAAAAUUGCCGUUGAAACUGGGUUACUUGAGUGUGUUUGAGGUAGGCGGAAUGCGUGGUGUAGCGGUGAAAUGCAUAGAUAUCACGCAGAACUCCGAUUGCGAAGGCAGCUUACUAA
rnacentral:rRNA from 1 species